CCAAUAGCGUAUAUUAAAGUUGUUGCAGUUAAAAAGCUCGUAGUUGAAUUUCGGGAUUGACGUGACGGUCGUGCCUUACGGGGUAUGAACUGUUGCUGUUGAUUUCUCACCUUCUGGAGAAACUUGAUGUCCUUAAUUGGGUGUCCUGUGGAUCCAGGACCUUUACCUUGAAAAAAUUAGAGUGUUUAAAGCAGGCAUUU
rnacentral:rRNA from 1 species